rnacentral:rRNA from 1 species
CCUACGGGAGGCAGCAGUGAGGAAUAUUGGUCAAUGGCCGGAAGGCUGAACCAGCCAAGCCGCGUGAAGGACGAAGGUGCCAAGCAUUGUAAACUUCUUUUGUCAAGGGACAAAAUUAGGCUCGAGAGCCUGACCGAGGGUACUCGAUGAAAAAGCAUCGGCUAACUCCGUGCCAGCAGCCGCGGUAAUACGGAGGAUGCGAGCGUUAUUCGGAAUUACUGGGCGUAAAGGGUGCGUAGGCGGGAUAGCAAGUCAGAUGUGAAAGCUUAUGGCUUAACCAUAGAACUGCAGUUGAAACUGGAAUUCUAGAGUAUGUGAGAGGUAGGUGGAAUGCGUGGUGUAGGGGUAAAAUCCGUAGAGAUCAAGAGGAAUACUCAUUGCGAAGGCGACCUGCUAGAACAUAACUGACGCUGAUGCGCGAAAGCGUGGGGAGCAAACAGGAUUAGAUACCCGUGUAGUC